UCAGUUCACGAGGUGCAUGUGGUUGCUUGCGUUAAACGUAUAAACUGUUAAAUUAGAUGGCGACUCUGCAUUAAACGUAUUUAUUUAAUUAAUCGGCGAUCGUAUUUCACCAGAGGACUAAGAUAAAACAACUCGAUUUAAAAUAUGAGCAGUUUUAGUGGAUCUGACGUCGAGGGAAAAAGUAUUUCGCUUUUUGUUUGGAGAUGAACGAGACAACACGAGGCACAGCGACAUAAAUAUGACCAACCAGAUCCCAAGUAGACAGGAACAAAUGAAGAUACAGCGCAUAGAAAGACUUAUUCUUGGUGAUCAACUGCUAUUGACAUUUUUGAAUUGGGACAAUUGUGGAGUGAUUCGGAAGAAAAACGUUUGCAACACAUCCAUUCCAGAGUGCUCUGACAGAUACAACUGACACGCUUGAUGAGGACACAGUCAAAGCUUUAAAAGGUAAACUGAGAAGUUAACAAAACUUCCAUACAUGCAUAUCUAUGCCAAUUUAUUUUAAACAUGGAUAGCCAAAUGUUCAUUCAUUAUUGGUUAAUUGGUAUAUUCUGUUUCCUUUUCACA